UAGCUUUGGCAGCACAUAUACUAAAACUGGAACAAUACAGAGAAGAUUAAAAUGGCCCCUGCGCAAGGAUGACUUGCAAAUUCGUGAAGCGGUCCAUUUAAAA
rnacentral:snRNA from 1 species